rnacentral:rRNA from 1 species
GAUGAACGCUGGCGGCGUGCCUAAUACAUGCAAGUCGAGCGAAUGGAUUAAGAGCUUGCUCUUAUGAAGUUAGCGGCGGACGGGUGAGUAACACGUGGGUAACCUGUCCAUAAGACUGGGAUAACUCCGGGAAACCGGGGCUAAUACCGGAUAACAUUUUGAACCGCAUGGUUCGAAAUUGGAAGGCGGCUUCGGCUGUCACUUAUGGAUGGACCCGCGUCGCAUUAGCUAGUUGGUGAGGUAACGGCUCACCAAGGCAACGAUGCGUAGCCGACCUGAGAGGGUGAUCGGCCACACUGGGACUGAGACACGGCCCAGACUCCUACGGGAGGCAGCAGUAGGGAAUCUUCCGCAAUGGACGAAAGUCUGACGGAGCAACGCCGCGUGAGUGAUGAAGGCUUUCGGGUCGUAAAACUCUGUUGUUAGGGAAGAACAAGUGCUAGUUGAAUAAGCUGACACCUUGACGGUACCUAACCAGAAAGCCACGGCUAACUACGUGCCAGCCGCCGCGGUAA